CCUACGGGAGGCUGCAGUGGGGAAUAUUGGACAAUGGGGGGAACCCUGAUCCAGCCAUGCCGCGUGUGUGAAGAAGGCCCUCGGGUUGUAAAGCACUUUCAGUGAGGAAGAACGCCUGGUGGUUAAUACCCAUCAGGAAAGACAUCACUCACAGAAGAAGCACCGGCUAACUCCGUGCCAGCAGCCGCGGUAAUACGGAGGGUGCGAGCGUUAAUCGGAAUUACUGGGCGUAAAGCGCGCGUAGGUGGCUUGAUAAGCCGGUUGUGAAAGCCCCGGGCUCAACCUGGGAACGGCAUCCGGAACUGUCAAGCUAGAGUGCAGGAGAGGAAGGUAGAAUUCCCGGUGUAGCGGUGAAAUGUGUAGAGAUCGGGAGGAAUACCAGUGGCGAAGGCGGCCUUCUGGACUGACACUGACACUGAGGUGCGAAAGCGUGGGUAGCAAACAGGAUUAGAUACCCCAGUAGUC
rnacentral:rRNA from 1 species